CAGCAGCCGCGGUAAUACGAAGGGUGCAAGCGUUAAUCGGAAUUACUGGGCGUAAAGCGUGCGUAGGCGGUGAGUUAAGUCUGCUGUGAAAUCCCCGGGCUCAACCUGGGAAUGGCAGUGGAUACUGGCUCGCUAGAGUGUGUCAGAGGAUGGUGGAAUUCCCGGUGUAGCGGUGAAAUGCGUAGGGAUCGGGAGGAACAUCAGUAGCGAAGGCGGCCAUCUGGGACAACACUGACGCUGAGGCACGAAAGCGUGGGGAGCAAACAGGAUUAGAUACCCCUGUAGUCCCUGUCUCUUAUAC
rnacentral:rRNA from 1 species